ensembl:lncRNA
UGUGGUGUCCGCAGCUGAUGAAGGUGGGAACUACUAAACACUGUUGCAUUGGCAUUCAGAAUGGUUUACGUGUAUACUUUUUCAGUUUCAGUGGUAUAUGCAGCAUUCAAUCAAUAUUUCAUCAUACUGUAGAUGUUCUACACACAGACCAUUUGAUUCUUGUCAAUACCUUAAAAUUAUUUUGGUGUUCAGCACCAGGCUACAUAGCUUCUAUUGUCAGAAGUGAUGUUCAGAUCAGUUGUUUGUAUGUCAUCAGAGAACAAUGAGGCUCAUGGAGGGAAGGAAAGUCCAGAAAAGACAAAUACUGAGCCCAUUUCUCUGGAUGAGCGCCUCUGAGCAGGAAUGAGCUGAAGAGGAGGAACCUGACAAAGCCAUUUUGAGAAGCAGUAUGACCUCUGUGGACGUGUAUGCUCUCUAUAAUAUGAGAGACUCUUAUUGAACAGUAGAGGUUCCUUAUGCUUCUUUCUGUCAAUGGCCACCAUGUAAAUUCAGAUAGUCCAGAGUCCACAUUUCAUUCAAUAACUUCAUAAUUGAUUUAUAACGAUAGCAUAAUAAUAAUAACAUUAACAACAAAAAACAUAUUUGUAAAAGUUUUAGUAUUGCAAGUAUGGUGUGUGAGUGAGACAGCAGUUGUCCAAGUGAAUGUCCUCUUUUUGUCUUUUAUGAGAAGAGAUAUUUAGUUUUUUACAUACUUUGCACGUUUUUUUGCUCAUUAUGUACAGAAUGUCAGGACUAUGAUGAGUUGAGUAUCGAUAUCCUAAGGUUGAGUUACACCAUGAAUUCCAAAUGUGAAGACUGUGAAUUGUGUGUGGAACAGCAUGUUUAUGUUUUAGGAGAAACAUCUGGUGUUGCCUGUGGAUUGUCCUUUUUAUAUUCUGAUGUACCUCUGAGGUGUCUUUGCCCCUCUUCCUUCUCCUGGGCACAGGUCAUUCUGGGGUCACACCUGGCCACAUGUUAGGGGUGAAAUCUAUUUAGUGAGUAGAGGGCGUCAGCACAUUGGGGGUUGAUAUCAUUUUAAUGGCCUGUGUGAGGAGUAGGCCUAUAAGGGGCGCAGUUGUAGAACAAUAAGGUGACACUCCCACCUGGGGUCAAAAAAUGAAAUAUCCUACCCCAUGCCACUUUGAUAAGGAGAUACCCCCUAAAGUUCAAAAGUCCUUACGGUGCAAACCAAUGACAGCGACGCGAUACGCUUCCAUCGCUUUGAGUGGGCGUGUUGUAGCGUGUGGAAAUAGCAUUUUCAAACUGUCAGAGACGACACCAAACAAUCUGAUUGGCCGCUGCCGGGAAAAAUCGCUCCUCAUUUGCAUAGGAUUAAAAAUGUUCCAACUUUUAUCGGUCAUGUCGCCUAAAACGGUGGUCUACGUCACAAUGGAUUGGCUCCCGUUGAAAUGCAUGGGAUUAGAAUAUCGCGUUGCUCGUAACGGUGUCAUGGGUUUGCACCGUUAGAUGUGUAUAUAGGUUAUCUAUGCAAAUUUCCAUUUGUCGUGUAAUUUAAGAAUCUAUUUGUUUUGGUUGUGUAUUAUUGCAAGAAGUAUUACAUCUUCAUGCUUUUAUUCCUGCCUUAGCUUAAUCAUUGUGUAAUCAUGGGGGGGUUAUUGUCUGCACCAAUAUGCCAAAACAAAUUCCUGGUAGGUAUAAAAUUACUUUCUAAAAACAAUUCUGAUUCAGAUACAGUAAAUCCUUGUUGAAUGAGUAGUAAAUUCUCAGAGCGACAUAACAUUAUUAACUAUCACUCCGGUAAUAGCCAAGACUGUAUCAGCGGUGGUGAAUAAAUAACUGGAGUCAGAUUGGUCAAGAGAUAGUUUCAACCAUCUAAGCAGUUUCACCUGGGCACCGGAUAAGACAGUCAUACAUUGAACCUUUGGCCGUUAGUCUGGUGUCCACACCUGGGCCGUUAGUCUGGUCUCCACACCUGGGCCGUUAGUCUGGUGUCCACACCUGGGCCGUUAGUCUGGUCUCCACACCUGGGCCGUUAGUCUGGUCUCCACACCUGGGCCAGCAGCGGCUCCCUCCAGAAUAUAUCAGAUGGAGAGAAGGUGACUUUUAGUGAAAUUUUUUAAUUUUUAAAUUACUAUUACUUUUGGUCAGAAAGUCUUGUCUGAGGCAUGGGAAGAUAUUUUAAUGGGUUACUCACAGUAGACAACAGAUCUGUGUAGUUUAGGUAGACUACAUGAAAGUGCCUCAAUGAUACCUACAGUAGGAUUCAAGUUAGAUGAUCAGUUUAUACUGGAAAAAGGUGCCCCUUUGCUGUUGUUGUUUAAUAUGAUGCUCUAUUUUUGUAUGCCAAAGGCACCUAUCCUCACACAAAUACUGCCAUUAUGCCAUUAAGAAGGUGUUCUGUGGUGUCGUUGCCAGGCAGCUCCAUCAUGCCCUAUAUUUUGUCUUCAUUUAAAGUCUGUGCUAUCAUAGUUAAAAUAUGCAUAGGUGGAACACAUUAUGUGAGAGCUCCAAUGCAGGAAUCAUGUAAAGAUCUGUAGGUUUUGAUACAGAAGCGUCACAAUCAUUCAUCAGUUAUCCCCUUCCUCUGUUUUGAUGUGUUUUGAUGUGUAUUGCUAUCCAAAUCUUUUACUCAGGCAUCUGAUAUGAUUUAAAUUAUACAUUUGAGAAUAGAAAUGAUUGGCAGACUUCUGGCAAUUGUCUUAUAUGUUAAUAAAUCUUUUUUUCCAGUAUAUCCAUUGCAUCUUUUGUUGGUCUAUACCAGGAGUUUUCAACCGGGGGUCCGCAGCCCUCUGGUGGUCCGCUAAGGCAUUGCAGGGGGUCCGCGACAUGAGCCUAUGUUGAUCAGUUCACCCUUGACUUUUUUUAUUUUUAUAAAUAUAUAAUAUACAUAAGAAAUCUCAUAAAGGCUUGAGCUGUCAUCGAGAGAUCAUUUGGGAUACUGAAACUACUUUUCGGAUGUUUAGAUAGAUCAGGUGGUACAUUGCAAUAAAGUCUGCAGAAAGUCGGUGCAUUCUUCGAGGCAUAUUUGUGUUCUUUGUGCUUUGAACAGUGGCUGUCUCCCUACUAUCUCUGAGGACACACUACACUGACACAGACAGCACCACUGACACACACAGCACCAGGUCUCCCUACUAUCUCUGAGGACACACUACACUGACACAGACAACACCAGGCUGAACUUUCACACUAUUGUUACCAAAGUAAAACUGCACUCUCUGUUCUCUAGUUUGACCAGUUGUUUUUUAUUUUGUAUUCCUAUCAUUAUGUUUUUUAGUUUUUUUGCUUUUUUGAAGCACAAGGAAAGUUAUAGGGUGCAAGAUUAAGGAUAUAAAGGCAGUAGAAGUGCCACCAAUUUAGCCAUGAAUGCUGAGCAGAAGAACCACUUAGUAGUACACUUAGAGAACUGAAUAAAGUUUAACCUGUGCUUCCAUGUUUACUGUCAACUUACAGUGUCAAAUAAAGGCUACUUUGCAUAUAGAAAUAAUGCUUAGGUUCUUCAGAAUAAGGGGGAG